UAAUGCAUGCAAGUCGCACGAGUUGCCUUCGGGCAGCUAGUGGCGCACGGCUGAGGAACACGUGCGUACCGACCCUACCGUGGGGUAUAACACCGCGAAAGCGGUGCUAAUUCCGCAUACGCUCUGUGGAGGAAAGCCUUCGGGCGCGGUAGGACGGACGUGCGGCCCAUCAGGUUGUUGGUGAGGUAAUGGCUCACCAAGCCGAUGACGGGUAGCUGGUCUGUGAGGACGACCAGCCAGACUGGGACUGAGAACGGCCCAGACUCCUACGGGAGGCAGCAGCAAGGAAUUUUCCCCAAUGGGCGCAAGCCUGAGGGAGCAACGCCGCGUGCGGGAUGACGGCCUUCGGGUUGUAAACCGCUUUUCGGUGGGACGAUAAUGACGGUACCACCGGAAUAAACCCCGGCUAACUCUGUGCCAGCAGCCGCGGUAAGACAGAGGGGGUAAGCGUUGUCCGGAUUUACUGGGCGUAAAGGGCCCGCAGGUGGUUGGGCAAGUGGCCGUUGAAAUCACUCGGCUUAACCGGGUGGCGUAUGGCCAAACUGCUCUACUCGAGCCGUACAGAGGUCGAUGGAAUUGCCGGUGUAGUAGUGAAAUGCGUAGAUACCGGCAGGAACACCAAGGGGGAAGCCAGUCGACUGGGUACGUGCUGACACUCGGGGGCGACAGCGUGGGGAGCGAACCGGAUUAGAUACCCGGGUAGUCCACGCCGUAAACGAUGGACGCUCGGCGCGUGGGUGCUAUUGACGCACCUGGGCGCCUAAGCCAACGCGGAAGCGUCCCGCCUGGGAACUACGAGCGCAAGCUUAAAACUCAAAUGAAUU
rnacentral:rRNA from 1 species